AACGAACGCUGGCGGCAGGCUUAACACAUGCAAGUCGAACGCCCCGCAAGGGGAGUGGCAGACGGGUGAGUAACGCGUGGGAACGUACCUUUCAGUCCGGAAUAACUCAGGGAAACUUGUGCUAAUACCGGAUACGCCCGUAAGGGGAAAGAUUUAUCGCUGAAAGAUCGGCCCGCGUUGGAUUAGCUAGUUGGUGGGGUAAUGGCCUACCAAGGCGACGAUCCAUAGCUGGUCUGAGAGGAUGAUCAGCCACACUGGGACUGAGACACGGCCCAGACUCCUACGGGAGGCAGCAGUGGGGAAUAUUGGACAAUGGGCGAAAGCCUGAUCCAGCCAUGCCGCGUGAGUGAUGAAGGCCCUAGGGUUGUAAAGCUCUUUCACCGAUGUAGAUAAUGACGGUAGUCGGAGAAGAAGCCCCGGCUAACUUCGUGCCAGCAGCCGCGGUAA
rnacentral:rRNA from 1 species